GUAGAGAAUACAAUCCAAUUUACUUUUGAAUAUCAUUAUUCAUAUGAAAAGAGCUCAGAUUACUUCCCAGGAAAUCAUAGGCCACAUAUGCAAAUUGCUUGCCCAUGUAGAUGCCAUUCUAGGUGACUCACAAGCAGUAUCCAUGGAGGUGGGCAUGGAGUUCACGGUUGUACGGCUUGCAACACUACUCUACCGAAGACAGCAUCAUCUCAGACCUGCUGGUCCAUGCAGCCUCCAUCUGUCUGCUCGGAGAAGAGACUGCUCCCAUCGAACAGGAGGUCCUGGAUGGAGGACUGCAUCUCCUGGGACAGACCUGCGGCUUGAAGCCAGGAAAUGCACCUUAUUACCAUGGCGGAGGUGCCGAACCUGGCUGCCGAAUCGGCCGCAUCCCAGGCCAUCUGGAGGGAGGUCCUUACCACUGUGGUACCAUCCUCCAAGAUGGCCGUGAACUCUUGGGCCAAGUCGUGGAGUAGCGAGUCUUUAAACUUUUUGAGGA